GGCGGACGGGUGAGUAACGCAUAGGAAUCUACCCAGUCGUGGGGGAUAACCUGAGGAAACUCAGGCUAAUACCGCAUACGUCCUACGGGAGAAAGCGCGCGAUUGGAUGAGCCUAUGUCGGAUUAGCUAGUUGGUAAGGUAAUGGCUUACCAAGGCAACGAUCCGUAGCUGGUCUGAGAGGAUGAUCAGCCACACCGGGACUGAGACACGGCCCGGACUCCUACGGGAGGCAGCAGUGGGGAAUAUUGGACAAUGGGCGAAAGUCUGAUCCAGCCAUGCCGCGUGUGUGAAGAAGGCUUUCGGGUUGUAAAGCACUUUCAGCGAGGAAGACGACAUCACUCGCAGAAGAAGCACCGGCUAACUCCGUGCCAGCAGCCGCGGUAAUACGGAGGGUGCAAGCGUUAAUCGGAAUUACUGGGCGUAAAGCGCGCGUAGGCGGCGUGUCACGCCGGGUGUGAAAGCCCCGGGCUCAACCUGGGAACGGCAUCCGGAACGGGCAGGCUAGAGUGCAGGAGAGGAAGGUAGAAUUCCCGGUGUAGCGGUGAAAUGCGUAGAGAUCGGGAGGAAUACCAGUGGCGAAGGCGGCCUUCUGGACUGACACUGACGCUGAGGUGCGAAAGCGUGGGUAGCAAACAGGAUUAGAUACCCUGGUAGUCCACGCCGUAAACGAUGUCGACUAGCCGUUGGGUACUUAGUGGCGCAGUUAACGCGAUAAGUCGACCGCCUGGGGAGUACGGCCGCAAGGUUAAAACUCAAAUGAAUUGACGGGGGCCCGCACAAG
rnacentral:rRNA from 1 species